UACGAAGGGAGCUAGCGUUGUUCGGAAUCACUGGGCGUAAAGCGCACGUAGGCGGAUGUGUCAGUCAGGGGUGAAAUCCCGGAGCUCAACUUCGGAACUGCCCUUGAUACAGCACGUCUUGAGUCCGGAAGAGGUGGGUGGAAUUCCUAGUGUAGAGGUGAAAUUCGUAGAUAUUAGGAAGAACACCGAUGGCGAAGGCGGCCCACUGGUCCGGUACUGACGCUGAGGUGCGAAAGCGUGGGGAGCAAACAGG
rnacentral:rRNA from 1 species